rfam:Gossypium hirsutum cultivar TM-1 chromosome 8, whole genome shotgun sequence
AAUCUAUGUAUCAAACAUUUCCUAAUUAAGUCUUUAAAUCGUUUCCAAGCUUCAUAUAGUGUUUUAUCCUUUGAUUGUCAAAAAGAUGUGAUGUCAUUUCUAAGCUU